GACGAACGCUGGCGGCGUGCUUAACACAUGCAAGUCGAACGGAAAGGCCCUGCUUUUGUGGGGUGCUCGAGUGGCGAACGGGUGAGUAACACGUGAGUAACCUGCCCUUGACUUUGGGAUAACUUCAGGAAACUGGGGCUAAUACCGGAUAGGAGCUCCUGCUGCAUGGUGGGGGUUGGAAAGUUUCGGCGGUUGGGGAUGGACUCGCGGCUUAUCAGCUUGUUGGUGGGGUAGUGGCUUACCAAGGCUUUGACGGGUAGCCGGCCUGGGAGGGUGACCGGCCACAUGGGACUGAGAUACGGCCCAGACUCCUACGGGAGGCAGCAGUGGGGAAUAUUGCACAAUGGGCGGAAGCCUGAUGCAGCAACGCCGCGUGCGGGAUGACGGCCUUCGGGUUGUAAACCGCUUUCGCCUGUGACGAAGCGUGAGUGACGGUAAUGGGUAAAGAAGCACCGGCUAACUACGUG
rnacentral:rRNA from 1 species